rnacentral:rRNA from 1 species
UUAGCUAGUUGGCGGGGUAACGGCCCACCAAGGCGACGAUGACUAGGGGAUCUGAGAGGAUGGCCCCCCACACUGGUACUGAGACACGGACCAGACUCCUACGGGAGGCAGCAGUAAGGAAUAUUGGUCAAUGGAGGCAACUCUGAACCAGCCAUGCCGCGUGCAGGAAGACUGCCCUAUGGGUUGUAAACUGCUUUUAUUCGGGAAUAAACCUUAUUACGUGUAAUAAGCUGAAUGUACCGAAGGAAUAAGGAUCGGCUAACUCCGUGCCAGCAGCCGCGGUAAUACGGAGGAUCCAAGCGUUAUCCGGAUUUAUUGGGUUUAAAGGGUGCGUAGGCGGCCUGUUAAGUCAGGGGUGAAAGACGGUAGCUCAACUAUCGCAGUGCCCUUGAUACUGAUGGGCUUGAAUGGACUAGAGGUAGGCGGAAUGAGACAAGUAGCGGUGAAAUGCAUAGAUAUGUCUCAGAACACCGAUUGCGAAGGCAGCUUACUAUGGUCUUAUUGACGCUGAGGCACGAAAGCGUGGGGAUCAAACAGGAUUAGAUACCCUGGUAGUCCACGCCCUAAACGAUGAACACUCGCUGUUGGCGAUACACAGUCAGCGGCU